GAGUUGGGCCAUGUCUCAUCAGCAAUUUGGGCCAAACUGAACGCAUCUUCCUCCAACUUCCCCGCGCCGCCGCCUCAACGCCGGCCGCACCAGCCCCUCCGCCGCCUCAACGCCGGCCGCACCAGCCCCUCCGCAGCUCGCCGCCCACCCAGCUCCCUCGACGCCGGAUGAUGGGCCAGCACCCACCAAAUCCCCUCCGCCCCCCUGUCCCACCCGCUGCAGAAACAUCCCCCCUGCACCCGCCGUCGAUGAGCACCGCUCGAGGCUCAAGACGGUGCUGGACCUCCUCCACAACUUCCGCGUCGACCUAGAGCGCCACGAAAAUUUGGACCGGCCUCCCCCAGCUGCUACUCUGCUGGUGUGUGCUUGCCAUUGCCAGCACGGCCAAGGAGAGGCCCUCCUCAGAAGCUGCAGCUGGGCCUGGACGUCGACGACCACGCACAAGGAGACGGCGACCUGGACAUGAUCGGCCGACCAGGAUGACGCCCACAGAAUAAGGACAUUUCCGGUUGGAGGGAUGUCAUGUCCCAAGCAAAAGUCAGGGAUGGAGAAGACUGCUUGUUGUAUUGUGCCACGCUACCACACGAGAGAGCUGGCUUACCAGGUUGCUCUAUUCUAUGGAGGUGUUGACAUUAAGAAACACUAAUGAUUAAUUUGCUGCCAUCGCUGUGGUGGGCACACCUGGAAGGAUUGUAGCUCUAGCUAGAGAGAAGGACCUUUCUUUGAAGAAUGUGGGGCAUUUCAUCCUUGAUGAGUGUGAUAAGAUGAUAGAGUCAGUUGGGGAGAAGUGGAGCUGGAGCUGGUCAGGAGGUACCGAUGGCUGCUGGAUCUGGCUGGCAGGCUUCGGUGGCCUCCUUUUUCGACACUGUGGGUUUAGCUGGAACCUGUGGCUGCGGGCCAUCACUUGGAAGGGAGCUGGAAGACCCUGGGGACAAGCUUGGUCGGCUUCCUUUCUAGCGCCUUAAUGAACUCUGUGGUUUCGAUGUCCAAAAAACAUGCAAGGGGAAGAGUGGAGCUGGCCCAGGAGGUAGCCAUGGCCGCCGGAUCUGGCCGGCAGGCAGCGGUUCUUUUUCUUUGACUCCGUGGGUUUAGGUGAGGACUCGGGUAGCCAUGACACCGACACUUUGAUUUAUUAGAAACUAAGCUAAUCAGUAGUACUUGACGUUGUAAAAUCCAUUUGUGUAAUGCUCCAGGCUUCGGAAGUUGUAACUAUUUGGUAAAUGUGCACGUAUGUGACCAUUGCUCCUAGCUCGCGUUUCUCUUUGGGUUAGACCUGUGAGCAAGGUUGGAUCGUAUGAUGUACGAAGUACGAUCAUUUAUUCUACUACUAUAUUGUUUGAUCUGUGGUUUGGAUGUUGCAAAAGAAGUAAAGGAGAUGGCAAAAUUUUGA